GGGAAGGUAGCUCAGUGGUAUAGAGUGCUUGCCUUGCAUGCAUGAGGCCCUGGGUUCAAUUCCACAAUACCA
rnacentral:tRNA from 1 species